GGAUGUAUGAGUUCUAAGAAGGAUUAAAGUUGAUGCAUGAAAAAAGUUUUAUUUUAUUUUAUUUUAUCUUUAUCCAGUUUUCAAGAAGGGUUAUAGGGUGUCAAUGGAAUGGUCACAUGUGGCUACUUUCGUUCUUUCGUUAAUGUUAAACAGGUGGAUAAGGAUGAUGGGUUGAAAUUAAACACUAAAAGAAGGAAGAGAAGAUAUUUGUGAAAAAGAAAAAUAUAGAAUCAAAGAAGAUAAACAAAAGAACAAAUGGAACGGUGUAUAUGAUAGGUUUUUCACCUUGUGUUGCAAAGGAGUACACAUGAAGAAAUCACAAAACAAACGUACAAUCAUUAAAGUAUUAAACAUCCAAGAUUUGAGGACAAAGGAAGAAGUAACUCAAGCCUAGAUUAAGGGGUAUGUUGAAAUGUAAUCUACAUUUUGGAUUAAUAUAUGGUAAUUUCAUAGCCGUGUUAUCGAAGUUAACUUCUGUGUAAAGAAAGCUUCAUGCACACACUAUACUUGUAAGUUCUUAUUUUGAGGAUCAACUCCAACAAACUUCACAAGUGUUUCAAUUUUCAAAAUUUAUCCUUUAUCAAAUGCCAAUAAGAGUAAAAGCUAGAGAGAAAGAGAGAAGGUUGCAAGCUGAGAUAGAAGAUUAGGAAACUAGGAGAUGCCAUUGAUUCUCUUCUAAUUUGUUUUGGAUAUGGUGUCCAGUUCUUGAUGAUAGUGAAUAUAUAGAGGAAGAGACUUUAUAUAAAGUAUAAAGGAUGACCAUGAAGUUUCGUGUAGACCUGGCAAUUUGCUACAUGACACGAUUAACACGAUACGAGUUUUUCGUGUAUGUGUUUUAGAAAUUCGUGUUUCGUGUUUAUUUGUGUCUGACACAUUUUAAAUUCAUGUUUCGUGUCUUACACGUGUCAAACACAAAUUUACAUGUUUAGACACGUAUAAGACACGAUACAAAAUCAUGUUGACAUGUGAUACGUACAAACACACACACACACACACACACAUAUAUAUAUAUAUAUUAGGGUUAAAUUUUAUAUUUACAAUAUAUUAGGGAACAAUUUCAUAAAACACAAUAAUUAGUUUAUAUCCCUAGCUUUAAAAAAAAGCCAUUAAAAACGUGACUAUUCGUGUCGUGUCACGUGUCACACGAAUUUUUUACAUGUCGUGUUCGUGUUUGAUACCCCAAACACGUUUUAUAAUUCGUGUCGUGUUUGUGUUUAACAAAUUCAUAUCGUGUAAAUUCGUGUGUGACACGAAUACACGACACGCAGACACGGAUUGCCAGGUCUAGUUUCGUGGAACCUUCCUUAUAACUUCCUUCGUCACUUCAACAAUGUGAAUGUGUUUAAUGGAAAAGUAACAAAAAAUAUAUUUAUUACAAGAAAUUAAGUGAACUGUUAUUUCUUUUUGAUGCAAUAACAUCAUUUAUUUUUAUAAACAACAAAUAGACAAAAAAAUGUUCACCUUUCCUUGCUUUUAUGUAACAUACAUUCAAAAUCAUGGAAACGAUAAUAAUUAUUUAUUAUUAUUAUUAUUUAUGUUGAAAUUUGGAGAUUGAUUAUAUAAAACUACUUAUCAAAUUAUUCAAAAAUAAAUUUUUUAUUUUUCUAUUAUAGUGAAUUUUUGGACAACAUAUUUCAUGUACAACAAUAUAUCAUGAUCAUAUGUCCAUAUGUUAACACUAAUUGUGGGAUAUCAAAAGAAUAAUAAUAAGUUUAAGAUGAUGAUUAGGCUGCAACAAUCGAAAGAAUGCAACUUAAGAAGAUGAAAACUCUGAAGAUUAAAACCAAUCGAGAUUUAGUAAUUAAAAAGUAAGGUGUUUUCUUUUUAGGAACAAAGUCAAUCAUGUGGUCUUUGGUAAAAAAAUAAAAUGAGUUUCUCUACAACAAAAGAUAAAAAGGAGUACAAGGCUUUAUUAAAAGAAGGGUAGUAUGGUCUUUUGACAAAAAAACAUGGAUGGGAAUUGUUUCUAACCUUAUUAAAUGAGGAAAUCGUACAAGAAUAUAAUAAUGAAAAGAUCACUAUUUAGCAUGUGCCAUGGUGUACUAUUUGAUUUAUGCAAAGAUGAUGAUAACGUUUUAUCUUGAAAACAAAAGCUUAAAGUGGUAUUUCCAAAUACGAAAAGCUUUUUAUCUCUCUGUUAAAUUAUUAUGAAAACCUUUGUAUAUUGUAUUAUUUACUAGAUAUUUGAUAUAUAAUCUAUAGAAUACAAAUAAAACCUAAUCGUUAGUGAUCAAUUAGUAAUUAUUCCUCUCUUCGAUUAUUGUAAAAAAUGUGUACAUCAAAAUUUAUAAUAUCGUUAGUGAUCAAUUAGUAAUUAGUAGACAUACAUACAACAAAAAGUAAAUAUAAUCGAUAUAAGAGCAAUUAGGAGAAAAGUUUUUACUUGAUUUUUUCCAAAAGAGUCAACAAGAAAUGCAAAUUUAAAGAUCUACUACUAAUAUAUAAAAUCAUGACUAAAUUAUAAUACUCUUUUCCUAAGGAUUACUCUGUAUUUAUGAAGUUACUUCAGUUUAUUAAAAAGAAAAUUUUAAAUAAAUUUACGAAGAGAGAUAUAAAUUCAAUAGAAUCCUUAAAUGAAAACCAUAAAAGGGGCUCAAUUGAAGACAUAAAUACGAACAGGAUAUAAAAAUAAACAUUUUAAGAAAGAGGAAAAGAGCUCUUGAAAUGAGGAAGUAAGAUCACGCACCUAAUUGUUGAUUAACAAGGAUAUAAGUUGAUAAUGGUGGAAUUAGCUUUGAAAGAAAGGUUGUGGACUUGUGGGGUUCAUUCAGGAAUUUCGUCGAACAGGUCAUGGACAGAUAAAUUAACAAAAAAAAAAAUACACGUUCAACCAUGAUCAUCGAACAGCCUAACCAUGAGUUGACGCAAGAAAGAAACUUGAUUAGAAAUACAAACAAGGCCGGUCGAUUUCCGGCCAAAUAUUAAUCGAUCUUACUUGUGAGUGGUGACCGGAGAGCGGAGACCCGGAUCUCCUUUUUUUCCCCAUGUGUUCUUCCUGCAACCAUGUCCACCACCCGUUUGAUCAAUUGCAAUCUGGACACAGUUAUCGAUAACACUGAUUUUUCAUAUAAAUGCUUCCACAGAGGCUGCUGAUGAGGACGUUUGGUGCAUCGGUGGCGAAGUUAAGUUGGUGGGCUUUCAGAAGAGAGAUUGUUCGCCGGCAAAGGAAGUGUAGAUGAAGAGGGAGAAAGGAAAGCAGAUGAAGAUGAAGUGCAGUGUAUCUCAGAUGAGUGGGGAUUAAAUUCCCCUUUGUAGAACCAAACACGUGAAUAGAUUCUACUUUUUAGCGUUUCUUUUUAUGUUGGAAAUGUUUUUUAAA
rnacentral:lncRNA from 1 species